AACGAACGCUGGCGGCAGGCUUAACACAUGCAAGUCGAGCGCCCCGCAAGGGGAGCGGCAGACGGGUGAGUAACGCGUGGGAACGUACCCUUUGCUACGGAAUAGCUCCGGGAAACUGGAAUUAAUACCGUAUGUGCCCUACGGGGGAAAGAUUUAUCGGCAAAGGAUCGGCCCGCGUUGGAUUAGCUAGUUGGUGGGGUAAUGGCCUACCAAGGCGACGAUCCAUAGCUGGUCUGAGAGGAUGAUCAGCCACAUUGGGACUGAGACACGGCCCAAACUCCUACGGGAGGCAGCAGUGGGGAAUAUUGGACAAUGGGCGCAAGCCUGAUCCAGCCAUGCCGCGUGAGUGAUGAAGGCCUUAGGGUUGUAAAGCUCUUUCACCGGAGAAGAUAAUGACGGUAUCCGGAGAAGGAGCCCCGGCUAACUUCGUGCCAGCAGCCGCCGUAAAAC
rnacentral:rRNA from 1 species